ensembl:snRNA U6 U6 spliceosomal RNA
GUGCUUGCUUCGGUGGCACAUAUACUAAUAUUGGAAUGAUACAGAGAAGAUUAGCAUGGCCCCUGUGCAAGGAUGACAUGCAAAUUCAUGAAGUGUUCCAUAUUUUU